UAGGGAAUCUUCCGCAAUGGACGCAAGUCUGACGGAGCAACGCCGCGUGAGUGAAGAAGGAUUUCGGUUCGUAAAACUCUGUUGUUAGAGAAGAACAGCGCAUAGAGUAACUGUUAUGCGUGUGACGGUAUCUAACCAGAAAGCCACGGCUAACUACGUGCCAGCAGCCGCGGUAAUACGUAGGUGGCAAGCGUUGUCCGGAUUUAUUGGGCGUAAAGCGAGCGCAGGCGGUCAAUUAAGUCUGAUGUGAAAGCCCCCGGCUCAACCGGGGAGGGUCAUUGGAAACUGGUUAACUUGAGUGCAGAAGAGGAGAGUGGAAUUCCAUGUGUAGCGGUGAAAUGCGUAGAUAUAUGGAGGAACACCGGUGGCGAAAGCGGCUCUCUGGUCUGUAACUGACGCUGAGGCUCGAAAGCGUGGGGAGCGAACAGG
rnacentral:rRNA from 1 species